GCAGACACAUUCCAGCCAAUCAGCAGCAGACCCUCCCUCCCAGACCCUCCCACCUCCUGGACAGCUCACUAAGAAUGCAGCUUCACAAUGAAUGUAAAAUGGAUGCUGUCCAGGAGAUGGGAGGGUCUUGGAGGGAGGGUCUGCUGCUGAUUGGCUGGAAUGUGUCUG
rnacentral:miRNA from 1 species